GACGAACGCUGGCGGCGUGCUUAACACAUGCAAGUAGAGCGGAUCGGCGAACGGGUGAGUAACGCUUGAGUAACUUCCCCCCUCCCUGGGCUAACAGUUGGAAACGGCUGCUAAUACCGGAUAGUGGGGGAUGACUCGCGUCCUAUCAGCUUGUUGGUGGGGUAGUGGCCUACCAAGGGGACGACGGGUAGACGUCCUGAGAGGGCGACCGGCCAUAUUGGGCUGAGAGACAGCCCAAACUCCUACGGGAGGCAGCAGUGGGGAAUAUUGCACAAUGGGGGAAACCCUGAUGCAGCAACGCGCGUGCUAGAUGACGGCCUUCGGGUUGUAAACCGCUUUCAGCCAGGACGCGGUAGUGGCAGAGGAAGCACCGGCUAACUACGUGCCAGCAGCCGCGGUAAUUC
rnacentral:rRNA from 1 species